rnacentral:rRNA from 1 species
CGGACUGGAGUCUGCAACCCGACUCCACGAAGCUGGAUUCGCUAGUAAUCGCGCAUCAGCCACGGCGCGGUGAAUACGUUCCCGGGCCUUGUACACACCGCCCGUCAAGCCAUGGGAGCCGGGGGUACCUGAAGUGCGUAACCGCGAGGAUCGCCCUAGGGUAAAACUGGUGACUGGGGCUAAGUCGUAACAAGGUAGC